GUCUACGGCCACGCCACUCUGAAUAAGCCUGAUGUCUGAUCUCGGAAGCUAAGCAGGGUCAGGCCUGGUUAGUACUUGGAUGGGAGACCACCUAGGAAGACCAGGUGCUAUAGGCA
rnacentral:rRNA from 1 species